rnacentral:sRNA from 1 species
UAUGGGAUGACAGCAACAAUGAAUAAGAAAGCAUUGUAGGCA